AUGCUAUUCCAUGAAUGAUACGGCUAGUUAGCUUAGCCACUGAUGACGGAGAAUAAACGGUUUUCCUUGCACGCCGGCCCCACUGUUCUUCUUGGCACUCACUAUACUACUGUUCAAAAUGUCUUGGAGAAGUUACUACAAAUCUUCAGUGGAUUAAGUCUUUCAGGGCGUCUUCUGUCUCAGCAUGGUGUCCCUGUCUGACUCCAUGAUAUCCAGAUCGGUUCUCUGUGGGGGAGGGAUGAGUCAUCUGUUGAAGUGUUGUGUAUGAAGUCGGCGUUUAAGACAAGGCAUGUUGUCCUACAUGAAUGUGGACCGAGGGUUUUUCUUUCAACUGGAAUUCCUUAAAGAAGAUUGUAGAUAUAUUUUUGAAUUUUUCCUCAUUCCAAGUUAUGUCUGCUUCCAACUUUGUGUAAUAGAAAAGAAAGAUCACUCUGCCCACAUCACCGAACACCUGAUGCUAGGAGGUGAAAGGAUUCUCUGCUGGAAGUCCCUCACCAUCACAUAAUCUGCUUGCUGCUGUGCCUGAAGCUCUUUAGUUCAUUUUAUUCACUCGACUAUCAAAGAAUCCCAUGUUGGAAAAUCAUGUUACUCAAUACGUAAACAGUAUGUUCAAGGACACGUUAUGACUUGUUCUGCUAAACAACACUGUGCACAGCUCCUUUAAUUACACCAGUGUUUCUAAAUCUUUUUUGAGCCAGCGCCCUUUAUCUGUCAUCUAGGUCCUUCACCACCCCCCAUCAAAGAAGAUGUAGGCUACUUGCACUGAACAUUAUUUUCAUUUAAAUGUAGCUCAGAGCCUCUCUGGAUGUGUGUUUUAUAAAAGAAAAACACAUUACUGAAUUAUUAGUUUAACAGAGAAGAAAAAAACCAUGUGAGUAGAAAUGAUUUUUACAGGUGUGUAAGAAAAUGGAAUUUAAAAUCAGUAGAGCUAACAGCAGCCAAUCAGGGUGGAAAAUAAAAAAUUGAUUCAAA